rnacentral:tRNA from 1 species
GCGAGUAUAUAUCAACGGUUAGAUUACCUGCCUUCCAAGCAGGCGAUAUGAGUUCGAAUCUCAUUACUCGCA